GCAGCGACGCCGCGUGGGGGAUGACGGCCUUCGGGUUGUAAACCUCUUUCGUAGGGACGAAGCGUGAGUGACGGUACCUACAGAAGAAGGACCGGCCAACUACGUGCCAGCAGCCGCGGUAAUACGUAGGGUCCGAGCGUUGUCCGGAAUUACUGGGCGUAAAGAGCUCGUAGGUGGUUUGUCGCGUUGUUCGUGAAAACCGGGGGCUUAACCCUCGGCGUGCGGGCGAUACGGGCAGACUUGAGUACUGCAGGGGAGACUGGAAUUCCUGGUGUAGCGGUGGAAUGCGCAGAUAUCAGGAGGAACACCGGUGGCGAAGGCGGGUCUCUGGGCAGUAACUGACGCUGAGGAGCGAAAGCGUGGGGAGCGAACAGGAUUAGAUACCCUGGUAGUCCACGCCGUAAACGGUGGGUACUAGGUGUGGGUUUCCUUCCUUGGGAUCCGUGCCGUAGCUAACGCAUUAAGUACCCCGCCUGGGGAGUACGGCCGCAAGGCUAAAACUCAAAGGAAUUGACGG
rnacentral:rRNA from 1 species